rnacentral:rRNA from 1 species
AUUGAACGCUGGCGGCAGGCUUAACACAUGCAAGUAGAGCGAGCGGCGGACGGGUGAGUAAUGUCUGGGAAACUGCCUGAUGGAGGGGGAUAACUACUGGAAAAGGUAGCUAAUACCGCAUACCAUCAGAUGUGCACAGAUGGGAUGAGCUAGUAGGUGGGGUAAUGGCUCACCUAGGCGACGAUCCCUAGCUGGUCUGAGAGGAUACCCAGCCACACUGGAACGCAGAAACGGUCCAGACUCCUACGUGCUGCAGCAGUGGGGAAUAUUGCACAAUGGGCGCAAGCCGGAUGCAGCCAUGCCGAGUGUGUGAAGAAGGCCUUCGGGUGGUAAAGCACUUUCAGCGAGGAGGCGUUACUCGCAGAAGAAGCACCGGCUAACUCCGUGCCAGCAGCCGCGGUAAUUC